AAGUCGUAACAAGGUUUCCGUAGGUGAACCUGCGGAAGGAUCAUUACGAGAACUUGCUCCAAAAAGAGCAACUCUCCCAACCCUAUGUUUACAUUACCAUUGUUGCUUUGGUGGGCCACAAGGGUUACCUUGCACUGGCUCUUUGCGAGUGAGUGCCCGCCAGAGAAAAUUUCAACACUGAUUUUAUAUGUUGUCUGAGUAAAGCAAUAAUUAUUAAAACUUUCAACAACGGAUCUCUUGGUUCUG
rnacentral:misc_RNA from 1 species